UGAGUACGAGACGCUAAGGCGUCGAAGUAGUGGAUGUCAUACUUCCAAGAAAAGCUUGCACUGUCAUAAAUAGAAAAUGCCUGUACCAUAACCGACACAGGUGGGUAAGUAGAGUAUACUAAGGGGCGCGAGAUAACUCUCUCUAAGGAACUCGGCAAAAUAACUCCGUAACUUCGGGAGAAGGAGUGCCUUAUUCUUAAGGUUGCAAUAACAAGAUCCAAGCAACUGUUUAUCAAAAACACAGGUCUCCGCUAAGUCGUAAGACGAUGUAUGGGGGCUGACGCCUGCCCAGUGCCAGAAGGUUAAAGAAGUCGGUUAGCAAUAGCAAAGCUGGUAACUGAAGCCCUGGUGAACGGCGGCCGUAACAAUAACGGUCCUAAGGUAGCGAAAUUCUUGUCGGGUAAGUUCCGACCCGCACGAAAGGCGUAAUGAUUUGGAUGCUGUCUCGGAGAGGGGCUCGGUGAAAUAGACUUGUCUGUGAAGAUGCGGACCACCUGCACCAGGACAGAAAGACCCUAUGAAGCUUUACUGUAACUUGAAAUUGAAAUUGGACUUUAUUCGCGCAGUAUAGGUGGGAGGCGUUGAUUAUAAUCUUGUGGGAUUAUUGGAGCCAUCAGUGAGAUACCACUCUUGUAAUGUUAGAUUUCUAACUUUGAAUCAUUAUCUGGUCAAAGGACAGUUUCAGGCGGGCAGUUUGACUGGGGCGGUCGCCUCCUAAACGGUAACGGAGGCGUACAAAGGUUUCCUCUGAACGGUUAGAAAUCGUAUCUAGAGUGUAAAGGCAUAAGGAAGCUUGACUGUGAGACCUACAAGUCGAGCAGGGACGAAAGUCGGUCUUAGUGAUCUGACGGUACUGAGUGGAAAGGCCGUCACUCAACGGAUAAAAGUUACUCUAGGAUAACAGGCUGAUCUCCCCCAAGAGUUCACAUCGACGGGGAGGUUUGGCACCUCGAUGUCGGCUCAUCGCAUCCUGGGGCGGUAGUACGUCCCAAGGGUUGGGCUGUUCGCCCAUGAAAGCGGUACGCGAGCUGGGUUCAGAACGUCGUGAGACAGUUCGGUCCAUAUCCGGUGUAGGCGCUAGAAUAUUGAGAGGAGCCUUCUUUAGUACGAGAGGACCGAGAAGGACAUACCUCUGGUGUACCAGUUAUCGUGCCAACGGUAAACGCUGGGUAGCUAUGUAUGGAGUGGAUAACCGCUGAAAGCAUCUAAGUGGGAAGCCCACCUCAAGAUAAGUAUUCUCAUCACGUAAGCGAGUAAGGUCACGGUAAGACUAACCGUUUGAUAGGCAUUAAGUGUAAGUACAGUAAUGUAUGUGCUGAGAUGUCCUAAUAGACCGAGGAC
rnacentral:rRNA from 1 species